rnacentral:rRNA from 1 species
AGUGAACGCUGGCGGUAGGCCUAACACAUGCAAGUCGAACGGCAGCACAGUAAGAGCUUGCUCUUACGGGUGGCGAGUGGCGGACGGGUGAGGAAUACAUCGGAAUCUACUUUUUCGUGGGGGAUAACGUAGGGAAACUUACGCUAAUACCGCAUACGAUCUACGGGUGGAAGCAGGGGAUCUUCGGACCUUGCGCGAUUGAAUGAGCCGAUGUCGGAUUAGCUAGUUGGCGGGGUAAAGGCCCACCAAGGCGACGAUCCGUAGCUGGUCUGAGAGGAUAAUCGGCCACACUGGAACUGAGACACGGUCCAGACUCCUACGGGAGGCAGCAGUGGGGAAUAUUGGACAAUGGGCGCAAGCCUGAUCCAGCCAUACCGCGUGGGUGAAGAAGGCCUUCGGGUUGUAAAGCCCUUUUGUUGGGAAAGAAAAGCAGCAGGUUAAUACCCCGCUGUUCUGACGGUACCCAAAGAAUAAGCACCGGCUAACUUCGUG